rnacentral:rRNA from 1 species
UGGGGAAUCUUAGACAAUGGGCGAAAGCCUGAUCUAGCCAUGCCGCGUGAGUGACGAAGGCCUUAGGGUCGUAAAGCUCUUUCGCCAGGGAUGAUAAUGACAGUACCUGGUAAAGAAACCCCGGCUAACUCCGUGCCAGCAGCCGCGGUAAUACGGAGGGGGUUAGCGUUGUUCGGAAUUACUGGGCGUAAAGCGCACGUAGGCGGAUUGGAAAGUUGGGGGUGAAAUCCCGGGGCUCAACCCCGGAACUGCCUCCAAAACUAUCAGUCUAGAGUUCGAGAGAGGUGAGUGGAAUUCCAAGUGUAGAGGUGAAAUUCGUAGAUAUUUGGAGGAACACCAGUGGCGAAGGCGGCUCACUGGCUCGAUACUGACGCUGAGGUGCGAAAGUGUGGGGAGCAAACAGGAUUAGAUACCCCCGUAGUCC